rnacentral:pre_miRNA from 1 species
UCUUAUUGAAUAAGCAAAGAAAGUAGUUUCUUGAGACAAAAUCUACUCCUGCUGAAAAUGCUGUGAA